rnacentral:tRNA from 1 species
GGCCCCGUCGUCUAGUGGCCUAGGACGCGGCCCUUUCAAGGCUGAGAUCGCGGGUUCGAAUCCCGCCGGGGCUA